GCGGGAUUAGUACAGGGGUAAUACAUCUGCUUCCCAAGCAGAGGAGGCGAGUUCGAGUCUCGUAUCCCGCU
rnacentral:tRNA from 1 species